rnacentral:rRNA from 1 species
UACACGACCGUACCGCAAACCGACACUGGUGCGCGAGAUGAGUAUUCUAAGGCGCUUGAGAGAACUCAGGAGAAGGAACUCGGCAAAUUGACACCGUAACUUCGGAAGAAGGUGUGCCUUUAGUAGGUGAACCAUUUACUUGGGGAGCCCAAUGAGGCUGCAAAAAAUCGGUGGCUGCAACUGUUUAUUAAAAACACAGCACUCUGCUAAGACGAAAGUCGACGUAUAGGGUGUGACGCCUGCCCGGUGCUGGAAGAUUAAAUGAUGGGGUGCAAGCUCUUGAUUGAAGUCCCAGUAAACGGCGGCCGUAACUAUAACGGUCCUAAGGUAGCGAAAUUCCUUGUCGGGUAAGUUCCGACCUGCACGAAUGGCGUAAUGAUGGCCACACUGUCUCCUCCUGAGACUCAGCGAAGUUGAAAUGUUUGUGAUGAUGCAAUCUCCCCGCGGAAAGACGGAAAGACCCCAUGAACCUUUACUGUAGCUUUGUAUUGGACUUUGAACAGAUCUGUGUAGGAUAGGUGGGAGGCUUUGAAGUGUGGUCGCUAGAUCGCAUGGAGCCAACGUUGAAAUACCACCCUGGUGUGUUUGAGGUUCUAACCUAGGUCCAUUAUCUGGAUCGGGGACAGUGCAUGGUAGGCAGUUUGACUGGGGCGGUCUCCUCCCAAAGUGUAACGGAGGAGUUCGAAGGUACGCUAGGUACGGUCGGACAUCGUGCUAAUAGUGCAAUGGCAUAAGCGUGCUUAACUGCGAGACUGACAAGUCGAGCAGAUGCGAAAGCAGGACAUAGUGAUCCGGUGGUUCUGUAUGGAAGGGCCAUCGCUCAACGGAUAAAAGGUACUCUGGGGAUAACAGGCUGAUACCGCCCAAGAGUUCAUAUCGACGGCGGUGUUUGGCACCUCGAUGUCGGCUCAUCUCAUCCUGGGGCUGUAGCCGGUCCCAAGGGUAUGGCUGUUCGCCAUUUAAAGAGGUACGUGAGCUGGGUUUAAAACGUCGUGAGACAGUUUGGUCCCUAUCUUCCGUGGGCGCUGCAGAUUUGAGGAAGCCUGCUCCUAGUACGAGAGGACCGGAGUGGACGAACCUCUGGUGUAUCGGUUGUCACGCCAGUGGCAUUGCCGAGUAGCUAAGUUCGGAAGAGAUAACCGCUGAAAGCAUCUAAGCGGGAAACUCGUUUCAAGAUUAGAUCUGCCGGGGCCUUGAGCCCCCUAAAGAGUCGUUCAAGACCAGGACGUUGAUAGGUCAGGUGUGGAACCAA